rnacentral:rRNA from 1 species
AGUGAACGCUGGCGGCAGGCCUAACACAUGCAAGUCGAGCGGCAGCGCGGGGGCAACCCUGGCGGCGAGCGGCGGACGGGUGAGGAAUGCGUCGGAAUUUGCCUCUUUGUGGAGGAUAACGUAGGGAAACUUACGCUAAUACCGCAUACGACCUACGGGUGAAAGUGGGGGACCUUCGGGCCUCACGCAGAGAGAUGAGC